GCCGUCUGUUGAUGAACAUCAAGGGUGAAACCGUUGGCGACUCAUAACGCGGUCACCGGUCCAAAAUGUCGAGCCAAGUCUGUUCGUGCAUGGACCGGUACUUUGCGUUCCCGCGCAAAUAAAUGAAAGUCCUUGUAGAUUCGUCACACUUGACUCACUUCCCACUGAACGGGAACACACACACACACACCGCAGGCCACAAACCACAAAUAAUGUUUGCCAACCACAGGCAACUUCCUGGCACUUACCACAUCAUUCCACUGACACGUGUGUGUGUGUGUGUACAUAUGUUCAUGGACACUGAAAUUUCUUCAUGGGUUUCACGCGGAGUGAAACAGUGGUGUUUAUCAAACAACUUGUUUGGGCAAGCAUUUCCCUUGUGUUUCUCUCCCUCUUUCACUCAUUCUCCCUUUCUCUCUCUCCCUCUGUCAAACCCCCUCUCUGUCCGUCUCUCGCCGUGAUUACAACCUUUGAAGGCCAGCGAUACUGUUUUCGUGAGACGUCUGUUUCUUUGACAGGUUGUUUUUCAUUUCGGUCCGUGGACUCCACGUUGCCCCAUACUCACCUCCUAGCUGUAGAACUCAGGUGGCUGCCCGUCUUUCCAACAACCACACAUCUCCCCUGGCAGGACAACCGGCGGAUCGUGACGGCCCGAGGUCUUUACUCUGCAACACCACCGACUGCUGCGCGUUAGAAGAACUGCAAGGGGAGACGAGGAAGCAUGACUACCGAGAGGGAGCGCGAUGGGAGGAUCUUGAAAGUGUUUUGGAGAGCGGCACAGAGACCGUGAAGGGAAAGAGUAGAAGAUAAGUGGGAAAGGGGAGGAGAGGGAGGAGAGAGACCUGUCGACUCACUGAGCAGGAAUGACUCGACUGCUCGUUUUAUGUACGGCAGGGCAGCACUCACUCCCGUCAAACGGCGCACUCGCACAGACACUCGCCCGCUGGUCUGGCUGGGGAUGUUGCCGCGCGCAGAGCUCCGGGACCGAAAGCUCUCGCAGCCUCAGGGACUCGGAAGGCACUCGGCCGCGGACAGGGGACGUGAUGGGUGUCUAAGAGGAUGAGGAGGGUACGACGUCGCUCACUCGCUCAGAGGACUAACCAGGCGGAACCGUAAGCCACAGUGGAGAACAAUCUUCUUUACUAGGAACAUUACAGGAAGCCGUGAGCUGUUCGCCAAUGUCCUGUUAACGACCGAUCUGCUCCCGUGCGUACGUGUGCGUUGGUGCGCGUGCAUGCCCGCGUGUGUGUGGCUGUGCAAGUGUAUGCGUGUGGGAGUCUGUGUUUGUUUACCUGAGUGAAUGUGCGUCAGUGGAAGGUAACUGAAUCUGGUAUACACUGACCCUUCCCUCUGAUACAAACACACACACACACUGCCACGUCUCACAGCUUUGUUAAAUGAAUACCUGUCACAUUUCAGAGGGAAGGACAGAGAGAGAGGGAGAGUGAAGGAGAGAGGGAAGGAAGGAGAAAAGAAAGUAAAGGAAGGAGAUUCAGAGCUGCGGGAGUCCAGUUAAUGGGAUGAGUUAAUGCCAUAUCGGGAAGGAGGUAACCUUGUCGUCUGAUGAUCAGACCGUCGGUGAGUAAUACUUCCUGUGUGGUGACGAGAAACAUCAUGUCCAUCACAGUCACCCCUCCUUCAUCACCUUCUGCCAUCCAUCAUCCCCCCAUCAACUUCUGCCGUUCAUCAUCCAUUCUCCCCGGGUCGCUCCUUCCUGCCUACCCCUCCGUCAUCCAACAUCACCAUUCAUCGUCUGUCCUCCUCUUGGGUUGGCGGACCUGUGAUACGCUCCAGCCGGAAUUCCGUAGUGCUCCGUCGUCUCUUCCUCUUGUGUGAGUGAGUCCUGUUGAUUAUGAAUUCAAAUGGGCUAUUAACAUGGAAAUUAAUGUUUGUGUGACCGAAGUCAAGGGAAAAAAAGAAAUUAUCUUUUCUAAGUCUACUCUUAUAAUGUUAUCAUUUACUUUGUAAAGUGUUGUUACAAUGUGAAAACAGUGGAAGUACAUGGAAAAAGAGAAUGACGUGUUUCAAAGGAGUUUUAUUUAAUUUUCAGGGACAUUUUGAACUUUAGUCUUUUCUUAUCCAAGCGUAAGAGGAAGUGUUUAAAGCGCUCAGCUGGCACUGUGGCUCUCACUAUGACUCCGCAAGAAAAAAAGGAGUUGACAACCACCUACCCCCUCCAUCCAGGCUUAUGUAAACACACCAUCUUCUAUCUCUCUCUCCCUUCUCUCCUUCUCACCCUCGUUUUCUCCCUUUUCCUUCUCUCCCCCUCUCUCUACCUUGAUCCCUCUCUCUCUCUGCCUCUCCCUGUCGCUCCCUCUCUCUCGCUCCGGAGGAGCAGCAGCAGGAAGGGUGACAUCACCGUCACCCGCGCCAGCCAGGUCCUGCCAUUCAUGCGAUUGGUGUGUGGGAGUCUCAGUCCCUGCGUGUUACUUCCUGGGUGAGAUUGGAACAGGAAGCACAUCUACAUACGCAGUCUCACCUCCACAAGGGCUCCUUUCACAGAGAGAGAGAGGCAGAGAGAGAGGAAAAGCGAGAGAAGAAUAAAAUGUGUGUCUUAUUCCGCAGGGUGCUGUUGUUGUGGUGAGUUUUGACAUUGGCUUUCACUUGUCUCUCGAUACAGUGCCAGAGGCUGGUGGUGGUAGUUGGUUUGAUGUGUGUGAUUUGAGAUAUUAUGCUGCCCCCUGGUGUCCAAAGACGAGGAUGUAGAGAAGUGACAUGCUCUGAUGUUAUUGUUCUAUAAAACCUGGCUUACAAUAAACAACUUGCCUCCUUGUCUUUAAAGACGCUGACAUAAACUUUGCUGUAGGCAUUAUGGGCCAUCCAAAGCUCAGAAUUCCAACGCUUGCGAGUGACUGUGAGAACCUCUGGGACAAACUGCUAUUUAGCUGUGUUGUCAUGGUGAUUCCAUGGUUACGUAAGCGUUUCGGUCCUGUUCCCAUAUUCAGGCAGGAUAGAGGUCUUUGUGUUCCAUUCUUGAGGUUUCCGACACUGGACACCCCUUCUGAGAUCUGUUCAUUUGGGCUAAUUUCCUCUACCUGAAAGUGACACGAUGAUCGCAUGAUGAUGUGGGAUUACCUGUUUUAUGUGCUGCCUGUCACACCCUACUUGAAACAGACACAGGUGUGUGUUUGUGUGUGUGUGUGUGAUCCAGAUCUUACAAUACAUUUUGGGACCAGAAGAGAAAACAGACAAAUCAAACCCUGCAAGGUUUUUAGCCCUGUGUGUUUGCUGGGGAAUGGGUUGUGGCUGGGUAGUUGGUCAUUGUCAACACUAUUGUGGACAGGAUAAAGAUUUGAGAAGAUUUCAAGGGGCGUGUCACUCUGUCAGAUGGACAGCAGCGGGCGUCCUUCCUAUGUCCAUAGAUACCUGCAGGACAGGUACAUGAACCAAGGGCUAUUAUAAAACAGGUUACAUAAUACAGCCAUUGUUUAGUGCCUGUCUGGUUAGUUUAUUUGGUUUGUCAUGGUUGUGGAGCGUUUCCUUAAACUCACUCACUAAUACUUUCUCGUCUUGUGGUGUGUCGGUGUGUUUUUCCCAGGACCCUUGGCAGGCAGAGAGGUCGCUGAGCUCUAAGUACAACUGCUGAGUGUGUAAGUAACCUUCUGUUUGCGUUUGUUGAAUGAGUGCUUGAAUACAAAUGUGAACUGUUUAGAUGUUGUGCCAUUGUGUGUUUUCCUACAGUGACAGAUGCUGCAUAAUUAUUGUAAUGAACUGCGUACACAAUAUAAAAAUGUUGCCCUAUACUGUAUAAUACUGUGAAGUUUUGUGUUUUUUAGGUUAGGCUCUAAACCAAAAUAUCUCUAGUUAUUUUUCACAGCUCUACUGUGAAGUGUGGGAGUGUCGUGAGUGUGGAAAAUGAUGUCACAUGUCAGCUGUCCUCAUAGCCGAGCUGGGAUUUAUUAUUUACACUAGUAUUUUAUUAGGAUCCCCAUCUUCUAUCAAGGGACCACACAGUGAGAAACCGUAUACUGUACUAAAGAAAACAAUGUUCAAACUACAUAUUUACAAAUGUACAUUACAAAUAGUGUUAUAAUGUUUGGGGAGUUGUAAAAUGUGUGUGUGCGUGUGUUCGUGAGACAGCGUGUACCUUUUCGCAGUCCCUCUGGUGCUGUGAGAUCUUGUGUUAUCUGUUUUAGACGUGAUAUUCCUGCUAGUCCUGAAUAUGUUUGUUAAAUGUGUUUGUGUGGUCAUGGCUCUCUACAGCCCUGUGUGUUUUCCAGCUUCUGUUCUUGAUUUUGGGGACUGCGAAGCUGAGCUACCAUGGCAACAACAUUAAUCAGAAAGGCACCGACUUCAUCCAAAGGCAAAGCACUGUAGCAUUCCACUUAUGUACUGAAGAUUGCUUUAUACCGAUGCUCAUUAUAGUAUCUGUGUUGGUAUGGUUUUUAAAUGAGUCGUUGACAUGAUUUAGCCCUACAGUGGUUCAAUCUGCUACAUGAUCCGUGCUGCACAGUAAUUUGUCAUUACUGCCAGAGAGAAAUAAAAUGAGUAUAUUAUAAAUACUGUAAAUAUACUCCAAAAUCAGCGAGUGAAUUGUCUUCCCCCAGAGGCUGGUUUCACGUGGUGAUUUAGAUUACGUUCCCAGUUUCUAGCACCAUUUGAAAUCAGUGUUCUUGGGGAAAGGGGAACAGCUGUGGGCCUUUGGGAGCAGCAGCCAGAAACUACUGGAGCCGUCCUCUCUCAUCUCUGUCUCCCCUUUAAAGGAUGACUGAUUUCCUCUGGUGUUUAGAGCCUCAUACACCUUCUAGCACCAUUUGAAAUCGGUUAUAAUGACUGGGGAUCAAUGUCUUCAAUGUCCUCAGUGUCUGCAAGUCAGCUCUACAGACACACGGAGAGGAAAUUAAUCUACUCUAUGGAUCCUUGAUCAAAAGGAAUGGGAUGGGAGUUCAUAUCCUCUAGGACAGUUUACGCUUUCUUAUUGAAUAAAUGUUUCAUUAAAUGGGAUUCAUUUGACAUGCUCUU